rnacentral:rRNA from 1 species
UACGGAGGGUGCAAACGUUGCUCGGAAUCAUUGGGCGUAAAGCGCACGUAGGCGGCGAAGCAAGUUGGGUGUGAAAGCCCUGGGCUCAACCCAGGAAGUGCAUUCAAAACUGCUUCGCUUGAAUCUCGGAGGGGGUCAGAGAAUUCCCGGUGUAGAGGUGAAAUUCGUAGAUAUCGGGAGGAAUACCAGUGGCGAAGGCGCUGACCUGGACGAAGAUUGACGCUGAGGUGCGAAAGCGCGUGGAGCAAACAGG